UGUUAGUUUGGUUCUGGUUACCAAGCUUAGUUUACAUCUAGUCGAUUAACACAUGGCAGUAAAAGCGUAGAAUGAGUGAGGUGAGGGCCCAAGAAAGGGGCGGUGGCCCCUUUCUUGGGCUGUCCGCGUAUAUAAUCAGAAAAUUUCGAUGACUAUCAAUAGAAUUCAUACCUCCAGUGGAUAGACUUUAACACAUAAGCGAAAGCUUGAUUAAGCUAUGAUGAGUAAGAGGAGUCCAACCAGGUGCCAGCAGUCGCGGUUAAACCUGAGUAACUCAAAUUAAGCUAUAAGCGUAAAAGGUGGAUUGGCAACGAGAAAGGGGGAGCUAAGGAAGGCGAGGCUAGGAAGAGGGGUGCAAUCUUUAUUCCUACGAAAAGUGUAAACCUUCCUUUAGGCUGUUUCCACGGAACCGGUGGGGGAGACAUGGAUUAGAGACCCAUUUAUUACCGAUGAAAACUUUGCUUCUCGUUGCUGCUUGGGUACUACGAGCAUGUGCUUAAAACUCAAAGAACUUGGCGGCUUGUUAACUACCUAGGGGAAUAUGUGCCUUAAUCCGAUAGUCCUCGACAUAUUUUACUGGGCCUUGAAAAAACAGUUGGUGUAUUGCCGUUGUCAGCUUGUUGUUGAGCAGAGAGAAACAGGCUUAAAGGAUUCGUCUGGGAGCAGAUGGAUUCCGUGAAUUCAGGUCGUAAUACUGCCUAUGGCUCUAGGGAGUGGGUGUUACAAUUUUUAAUUAAAAUACGGAUCUUUUUAUGAAAAAAAAGUGAAGGUGAACUUAGGAGUAAGGGAAGAUUAGCAUGCUCCCCUGAACGUGAAUCUAGCUUGUGUACAAACUGCCCGUCGCUCUCGGUAAGAGCUGAGAUAAGUCGUAACAAGGUAGGGGUACUGGAAGGUGCGCCCUGA
rnacentral:rRNA from 1 species